rnacentral:rRNA from 1 species
GGUGGGGGAUAACUCCGGGAAACUGGAGCUAAUACCGCAUGAUAACUGAGGUUCAAAGGUCGCAAGACCGCCUUGAGAGGGGCCUGCGUUCGAUUAGUUAGUUGGUGGGGUAAUGGCCUACCAAGACGAUGAUCGAUAGCUGGUUUGAGAGGAUGAUCAGCCACACUGGGACUGAGACACGGCCCAGACUCCUACGGGAGGCAGCAGUGGGGAAUAUUGGACAAUGGGCGGAAGCCUGAUCCAGCCAUGCCGCGUGAGUGAAGAAGGCCUUAGGGUUGUAAAGCUCUUUCACCGGUGAAGAUAAUGACGGUAACCGGAGAAGAAGCCCCGGCUAACUUCGUGCCAGCAGCCGCGGUAAUACNAAGGGGGCGAGCGUUGCUCGGAAUAACUGGGCGUAAAGGGCGCGUANGCGGCCGAUAGCUGUCAGAUGUGAAAUUUUUGGGCUCAACCCGAAAACUGCAUUUGAUACGUAUUGGCUAGAGUGCGAGAGANGAUUGCGGAAUUCCCNGUGUAGAGGUGAAAUUCGUAGAUAUUGGGAAGAACACCAGUUGC